rnacentral:rRNA from 1 species
GAUGAACGCUGGCGGCGUGCCUAAUACAUGCAAGUCGAGCGAACAGACGAGGAGCUUGCUCCUCUGACGUUAGCGGCGGACGGGUGAGUAACACGUGGAUAACCUACCUAUAAGACUGGGAUAACUUCGGGAAACCGGAGCUAAUACCGGAUAAUAUAUUGAACCGCAUGGUUCAAUAGUGAAAGACGGUUUUGCUGUCACUUAUAGAUGGAUCCGCGCCGCAUUAGCUAGUUGGUAAGGUAACGGCUUACCAAGGCGAAGAUGCGUAGCCGACCUGAGAGGGUGAUCGGCCACACUGGAACUGAGACACGGUCCAGACUCCUACGGGAGGCAGCAGUAGGGAAUCUUCCGCAAUGGGCGAAAGCCUGACGGAGCAACGCCGCGUGAGUGAUGAAGGUCUUCGGAUCGUAAAACUCUGUUAUUAGGGAAGAACAAAUGUGUAAGUAACUAUGCACGUCUGGACGGUACCUAAUCAGAAAGCCACGGCUAACUACGU